UCCCGAAGAACUUAUCGAGGU
rnacentral:misc_RNA from 1 species